UACGUAGGUGACAAGCGUUGUCCGGAUUUACUGGCGUAAGGAGCGACGCAGGCGGUCGUCGAAGUCGAGUGUGAAAGCCCCCGGCUCCAACUGGGGAGGGUCACUCGGAGUACUGAUCGACUCGAAGGCAGGAGAGGGAAGUGGAAUUCCCGGGUGUAGUGGUGAAAUGCGUAGAUAUCGGAAGGAACACCGGUGGGCGAAAGCGGCGCGCUGGAUCUCUUCUGACGCUGAGGCGCGAAAGCCAGGGGAGCGGAACGGG
rnacentral:rRNA from 1 species